UACGAGGGGGGCGAGCGUUGUUCGGAAUUAUUGGGCGUAAAGGGCGCGUAGGCGGCCUGGCAAGUGGAAGGUGAAAUCCCUCGGCUUAACCGAGGAACUGCCCUCCAAACUGCUUGGCUUGAGUCCGGGAGAGGUGAGUGGAAUUCCCAGUGUAGCGGUGAAAUGCGUAGAUAUUGGGAGGAACACCAGUGGCGAAGGCGGCUCACUGGACCGGAACUGACGCUGAGGCGCGAAAGCGUGGGGAGCAAACAGG
rnacentral:rRNA from 1 species